rnacentral:rRNA from 1 species
UACGUAGGGCGCGAGCGUUGUCCGGAGUUACUGGGCGUAAAGGGCUCGUAGGCGGCUUGUCGCGUCGGCUGUGAAAGCCCACGGCUUAACCGUGGAAUUGCAGUCGAUACGGGCAGGCUAGAGGGCGGCAGAGGGGAGUGGAAUUCCCGGUGUAGCGGUGAAAUGCGCAGAUAUCGGGAGGAACACCGGUGGCGAAGGCGGCUCCCUGGGCCGUCCCUGACGCUGAGGAGCGAAAGCGUGGGGAGCGAACAGG